rnacentral:miRNA from 1 species
ACCUUAAUCAAAACUACUCUCC